UCAAGUCAUCAUGGCCCUUAUGUCCAGGGCGACACACGUGCUACAAUGGCCGGUACAGAGGGAAGCGAAUUCGAGAGGAAGAGCGGAUCCCAAGAAAGCCGGUCGCAGUUCGGAUUGAGGUCUGCAACUCGACCUCAUGAAGCUGGAAUCGCUAGUAAUCGCAGAUCAGCCAAGCUGCGGUGAAUACGUUCCCGGGCCUU
rnacentral:rRNA from 1 species